UAUUCUCAACCCUGCUACAUUUUUUUUUUAAAAGUGCAGCUUGGCUUGGACUUGGAGGUUUUAUUGCUGGCAUACAAGCUUUUGUUUGAACGCGGGCUCCUCUGAAAUGCAUUAGCUGGAAUGUUACCGAGCAUGAUUCAAUGUGAUAAUUGUCUACGUUGCUUCAACUUGGUAUUAAUUCUGUUUCAGCUUCGAACCGUCCUUCACCGGACAAUACUUUGUAAC
rnacentral:misc_RNA from 1 species